CAGUAGCCGCGGGAAUACGAAGGGUGCAAGCGUUACUCGGAAUUACUGGGCGUAAAGCGUGCGUAGGUGGUGGUUUAAGUCCGUUGUGAAAGCCCUGGGCCCAACCUGGGAAUUGCAGUGGAUACUGGGUCACUAGAGUGUGGUAGAGGAUAGUGGAAUUUCCGGUGUAGCAGUGAAAUGCGUAGAGAUCGGAAGGAACAUCUGUGGCGAAGGCGACUAUCUGGGCCAACACUGACAUUGAGGCACGAAAGCGUGGGGAGCAAACAGGAUUAGAUACCCGCGUAGUCCCUGUCUCUUAUAC
rnacentral:rRNA from 1 species